GGCAAGAUGGCCGAGUUGGUCUAUGGCGGUAGACUCAAGCGAUCAGUUUACCUGUGAAAAACGCGGGCUUUCUACUCUCGAAAGAGGCAGGGGUUCGAAUCCCCUUCUUGUCA